AGUGGAUGGGGAGCAACCUAGUUGUGCGUGUGUAAAGGUAGUGCCAAGAAAAGCGAUGAUCAUGUUGAAAAUCAAUUCCCGGUACCCGAAACCGACACAGGUGGGCAAGUAGAGAAUACUAAGGGGCGCGAGGUAACUCUCUCCAAGGAACUCGGCAAAAUGACCCCGUAACUUAGGGAGAAGGGGUGCCACCGAGAGGUGGUCGCAGUGAAGAGGCCCAGGCGACUGUUUAGCAAAAACAUAGGUCUCUGCAAACUCGAAAGAGGAGGUAUAGGGGCUGACGCCUGCCCAGUGCCGGAAGGUUAAAGAAGUUGGUCAGUUUUAGGAUGAAGCUAGCGACUGAAGCCCCGGUGAACGGCGGCCGUAACUAUAACGGUCCUAAGGUAGCGAAAUUCCUUGUCGGGUAAGCUCCGACCCGCACGAAAGGCGUAACGAUCUGGGCGCUGUCUCGGAGAGAGGCUCGGCGAAAUAGGAUUGUCUGUGAAGAUACGGACUACCUGCAUUUGGACAGAAAGACCCUAUGAAGCUUUACUAUAGCUUGGAAUUGUGUUCGGGCUUCCUGUGCGCAGGAUAGGUGGGAGGCGUAGAAGGUAUUCUUGUGGGGAUACUGGAGCCAACGGUGAGAUACCACUCUCAGGAGGCUAGAAUUCUAACUUAAUUAAGGACAGUUUCAGGUGGGUAGUUUGACUGGGGCGGUCGCCUCCAAAAAGGUAACGGAGGCGUACAAAGGUUCCCUCAGACUGGUUGGAAAUCAGUCGAAGAGUGCAAAGGCAGAAGGGAGCUUGACUGCGAGAAGUACAGUUCGAGCAGGGUGGAAACACGGUCUUAGUGAUCCGACGGUGCUGUGUGGAAGGGCCGUCGCUCAACGGAUAAAAGUUACUCUAGGAUAACAGGCUGAUCUCCCCCAAGAGUUCACAUCGACGGGGAGGUUUGGCACCUCGAUGUCGGCUCAUCGCAACCUGGGGCGGAAGUACGUCCCAAGGGUUGGGCUGUUCGCCCAUUAAAGCGGUACGUGAGCUGGGUUCAGAACGUCGUGAGACAGUUCGGUCCAUAUCCGAUGUAGGCGUGAGAAUAUUGAGAGGAGCCUUCCUUAGUACGAGAGGACCGGGAAGGACGCACCGCUGGUGUACCUGUUAUGAUGCCAAUUGUAAACGCAGGGUAGCCAAGUGCGGAGAGGAUAACCGCUGAAAGCAUCUAAGUGGGAAGCCCACCUCAAGAUGAGUAUUCUGGUGUAAGGUCACGGGAAGACGACCCGUAAAUAGGCACGAGGUGGAAGUGCAGAGAUGUAUGAAGCCGAAGUGUACUAAUAGACCGUCGGCUUGACC
rnacentral:rRNA from 1 species